rnacentral:rRNA from 1 species
GAGUAGCAAUACCAGUGGCGAACGGGUGAGUAAUACAUGGAUAACCUACCUAGAAGUUGGGGAUAACACAGAGAAAUUUGUGCUAAUACCGAAUGUGACGGUUCCUGGUAGCAGGGAUUGGUUAAAGCAGCAAUGCGCUUUUAGAUGGGUCCAUGGCUGAUUAGCUAGUUGGUGGGGUAAAGGCUCACCAAGGCGACGAUCAGUAGCCGGCCUGAGAGGGUGAACGGCCACAAUGAU